rnacentral:rRNA from 2 species
GAUGUGUAGGAUAGGUGGGAGGCUUUGAAGUGUGGACGCCAGUCUGCAUGGAGCCGACCUUGAAAUACCACCCUUUAAUGUUUGAUGUUCUAACGUGGACCCGUGAUCCGGGUUGCGGACAGUGUCUGGUGGGUAGUUUGACUGGGGCGGUCUCCUCCUAAAGAGUAACGGAGGAGCACGAAGGUUGGCUAAUCCUGGUCGGACAUCAGGAGGUUAGUGCAAUGGCAUAAGCCAGCUUGACUGCGAGCGUGACGGCGCGAGCAGGUGCGAAAGCAGGUCAUAGUGAUCCGGUGGUUCUGAAUGGAAGGGCCAUCGCUCAACGGAUAAAAGGUACUCCGGGGAUAACAGGCUGAUACCGCCCAAGAGUUCAUAUCGACGGCGGUGUUUGGCACCUCGAUGUCGGCUCAUCACAUCCUGGGGCUGAAGUAGGUCCCAAGGGUAUGGCUGUUCGCCAUUUAAAGUGGUACGCGAGCUGGGUUUAGAACGUCGUGAGACAGUUCGGUCCCUAUCUGCCGUGGGCGCUGGAGAACUGAGGGGGGCUGCUCCUAGUACGAGAGGACCGGAGUGGACGCAUCACUGGUGUUCGGGUUGUCAUGCCAAUGGCACUGCCCGGUAGCUAAAUGCGGAAGAGAUAAGUGCUGAAAGCAUCUAAGCACGAAACUUGCCCCGAGAUGAGUUCUCCCUGAGACUUUAGGUCUCCUGAAGGAACGUUGAAGACGACGACGUUGAUAGGCCGGGUGUGUAAGCGCAGCGAUGCGUUGAGCUAACCGGUACUAAUGAACCGUGAGGCUUAACCUUACA